GAUGAACAUAGAAGUAUUAGACCACGUGGCAGUUCUACAGAUAUCGGAGCGCGACGUUUGGAGGUGGAGACUAUUAACCAAUCGUCUAUAUACGGGAAUACUUGAACUCCCUUUAGACGUAAGAAGGCGGCCACCGGCGCCAUACAUUUUGUGAAGGUUCUGGGAGCUGUGGCUAAGCCGAAUGGUAAAGCCAGAAACUGGUAAAUGGCAUCGCGAAAGAGAAAUCUGAGGUGGAUUAUGGAUUCUAAGGUGACCAUGCGGAAUCGUUGUGGAUGGAGG